ensembl:lncRNA
AUGACUGACAGCAGAGGAGGUCCAGUCAGGGUCCAGUCAGAGUCCAGUCAGGGUCCAGUCAGAGUCCAGUCAGGGUCCAGUCAGGGUCCAGUCAGAGUCCAGUCAGGGUCCAGUCAGAGUCCAGUCAGAGUCCAGUCAGAGUCCAGUCAGGGUCCAGUCAGAGACCAGUCAGGGUCCAGUCAGAGUCCAGUCAGGGUCCAGUCAGAGUCCAGUCAGAGUCCAGUCAGAGACCAGUCAGGGUCCAGUCAGGGUCCAGUCAGAGUCCAGUCAGAGACCAGUCAGGGUCCAGUCAGGGACCAGUCAGAGUCCAGUCAGAGACCAGUCAGGGUCCAGUCAGGGACCAGUCAGAGUCCAGUCAGGGACCAGUCAGAGUCCAGUCAGAGUCCAGUCAGAGACCAGUCAGGGUCCAGUCAGGGACCAGUCAGAGUCCAGUCAGGGACCAGUCAGGGACCAGUCAGAGUCCAGUCAGGGUCCAGUCAGAGACCAGUCAGAGACCAGUCAGAGUCCAGUCAGGGUCCAGUCAGAGUCCAGUCAGAGUCCAGUCAGAGACCAGUCAGGGUCCAGUCAGGGACCAGUCAGAGUCCAGUCAGGGACCAGUCAGGGACCAGUCAGGGACCAGUCAGAGUCCAGUCAGGGUCCAGUCAGAGACCAGUCAGAGACCAGUCAGAGUCCAGUCAGGGUCCAGUCAGAGACCAGUCAGAGACCAGUCAGAGUCCAGUCAGGGUCCAGUCAGGGUCCAGUCAGAGACCAGUCAGAGACCAGUCAGAGUCCAGUCAGGGUCCAGUCAGGGUCCAGUCAGGGACCAGUCAGGGUCCAGUCAGAGUCCAGUCAGAGACCAGUCAGGGUCCAGUCAGAGUCCAGUCAGGGUCCAGUCAGGGACCAGUCAGAGUCCAGUCAGGGUCCAGUCAGAGUCCAGUCAGGGACCAGUCAGAGUCCAGUCAGGGUCCAGUCAGGGACCAGUCAGAGACGAGUCAGAGACCAGUCAGGGACCAGUCAGGGACCAGUCAGAGACCAGUCAGAGUCCAGUCAGGGUCCAGUCAGGGUCCAGUCAGGGACCAGUCAGAGUCCAGUCAGGGUCCAGUCAGGGUCCAGUCAGAGACCAGUCAGGGACCAGUCAGGGUCCAGUCAGAGUCCAGUCAGAGACCAGUCAGAGUCCAGUCAGGGUCCAGUCAGGGUCCAGUCAGGGACCAGUCAGGGUCCAGUCAGAGUCCAGUCAGGGUCCAGUCAGGGACCAGUCAGAGUCCAGUCAGGGUCCAGUCAGGGUCCAGUCAGAGUCCAGUCAGGGUCCAGUCAGGGUCCAGUCAGAGACCAGUCAGGGACCAGUCAGGGUCCAGUCAGAGUCCAGUCAGAGACCAGUCAGAGUCCAGUCAGAGACCAGUAAGGGUCCAGUCAGAGUCCAGUCAGAGUCCAGUCAGGGACCAGUCAGGGUCCAGUCAGAGACCAGUCAGGGACCAGUCAGGGUCCAGAGUCCAGUCAGAGACCAGUCAGGGUCCAGAGUCCAGUCAGAGUCCAGUCAGGGUCCAGUCAGGGUCCAGUCAGAGACCAGUCAGAGUCCAGUCAGGGUCCAGUCAGAGACCAGUCAGAGUCCAGUCAGGGUCCAGUCAGGGUCCAGUCAGGGACCAGUCAGAGUCCAGUCAGGGUCCAGUCAGGGUCCAGUCAGAGUCCAGUCAGGGUCCAGUCAGGGACCAGUCAGAGACCAGUCAGGGUCCAGUCAGGGUCCAGUCAGGGACCAGUCAGAGACCAGUCAGGGUCCAGUCAGAGUCCAGUCAGAGACCAGUCAGAGUCCAGUCAGGGACCAGUCAGAGACCAGUCAGGGUCCAGUCAGGGUCCAGUCAGGGUCCAGUCAGAGACCAGUCAGAGACCAGUCAGAGUCCAGUCAGAGACCAGUCAGAGUCCAGUCAGAGUCCAGUCAGAGACCAGUCAGAGUCCAGUCAGAGACCAGUAAGGGUCCAGUCAGAGUCCAGUCAGAGUCCAGUCAGGGACCAGUCAGGGACCAGUCAGGGACCAGUCAGGGUCCAGUCAGGGACCAGUCAGGGUCCCAGUCUCUGA